UCCAAUGAUGAACUGUUUAAAAUGCUGACACAUCUAAUUGCCACUAGAGCUGUACAUAACUUGCACAACAGCUCCACCUAGUGGCCAGAUCCAUGUCAUUUCCUAACAAUUUUUCCUCUGAGAUAUAUAGCUUUUAUCAAUCUUGGGUGUCUUUUAGCUCACCAAAAUAAUUUGUUCAAUUCCACCAUCCAGGGUAUUGUUCUCGUUCCUUCUUGGUGACUUAUUACCUGUAUGUGGGCAAAAUGAAUAAUGACCUGACCGCCAGUGUUGAGCCUUCCUCCCUAAAAAGCUUCCAGAAUAUUCCAUUUUUUUUCUGGGGGGAAAGCCCUCCUUUCCAUGACUUCAACGUUUCUGAAAAUUUUACAUCUCUUUUCACACUGACUUCUAUCAACUGGUGCCCACCUGGACCUGGUGGCACAUACUCAGUUCGAUGCAUGACUGCACAAGUACUUUCAGUUGAGUGCUGAAAGGCAAUGCAUAUAGAUCUUUUGCAUGUCAUCAAUCUGAUUGUGACAUCAGUGAUACAAAGCAGCAAGAAGACCGCAUGAGCAGCAUCACAGAAGUCUUGAAAAAUGAUCUCCCAUGGUCUUUUCACUCCACUG